rnacentral:rRNA from 1 species
UACGGGGGUGGCAAGCGUUGUUCGGAAUUACUGGGCGUAAAGGGCGCGUAGGCGGCCUGCUAAGUCGAACGUGAAAUCCCCGAGCUCAACUCGGGAACUGCGUCCGAUACUGGCAGGCUUGAAUUCGGGAGAGGGAUGCAGAAUUCCAGGUGUAGCGGUGAAAUGCGUAGAUAUCUGGAGGAAUACCGGUGGCGAAGGCGGCAUCCUGGACCGACAUUGACGCUGAACGGCGAAAGCUAGGAGAGCAAACGGG